AUGGGAGUUUUGCCCACAGUUGCAAAAGCGCACUUCCCUCCGGGGCAGCCCCCGUGCGCCCCAGAAGAGCGGGGUCGGCAGGGGCAGAGCGCAGAGACCUUAACGCGGACUCCCGCCCGCCCUUCCUCUCCCAGCUACCCCAACAGGCCCUUCCCUGGGAGUCCGGAGCCGCCCCUGCUCGCCCGACGGGGCGCAAGGAAGGGAGGGAGGUGCGGGAAAGAAGGGAUGGCGGGGAAGUUUCAAGGGGUGUGCCGGGGACGGGGGAGGAUUCUCAUGAGUCAGCGGAUCGCGCUCGGCGUGACUUCACUGCUUCGCGAGAAGAGGCGCCUGGGGCAGAAGGCCGCAGGAGUGGAAGCUACUCAACAAUCUUUUGAGAACAAAAACUCCUUAUGAGGCCCAACCACAAUCUGUCCGUCAUUUAAAUCUAUCUAAGGCCUCAUCAGGUCAAUCCAAUAGAGGUGAAUCUGAAGUUACUGAACAGAGGAAAGACUGCUGGCUGUAGAGAAAGGAUUAGAGGGGACAUCUCCGCUUUACAGGGGAGAGGACUCCUCUUAAACCAUAACUUCUAAAAAUAAAUAAAUAAAUAAACCAUAACUUCUCUCCUGCCUUUUGAAUAUGGUUCACAUUCUGAAAGUCUGAUGGACAGGCGACCUUCCUAGCAUGUGUCUGUGAUGGAAAGUAAGGGCCAUGGCCACGGAGGCUGCGCACUGUGGUAUUUCGUUCUGGCCACAGGUUUGAAUAGAAGUUAUUGAGGCUAAGGGAUUGAGGGAAGCGGGGUGUGGGGGUGGAGGGGGGGGGGAACUAGCCGGCCACCUUGUCCCCAGAGCACCUGGGGUGAUUUGCAGGAGAACAUAGGCCAUCACGCGCUGCUUAAAAGAGGCGACAUAGAGGGGCUGAGAAAGUGGCCAAGGCGGAAAGGCAAGUGGAGCGCAGAAGCGGGGAGGUGGCCCUACACAGGCUCUGGACAGCCAGGGGGUCCCACCUCUCCCCAGGGGACCCCGGUGCCGAGGCCCGAAAGGAUCAGACUGGGGCUGGAGAGUGGGGGGAAACAGGGCUGGAAGGAGGG
rnacentral:lncRNA from 1 species